AACCUUAGCUACAUUCUAAAUUCUGCCUUAUUCUCAGAAGAAGUCACAAAGAGAUGAUGUACAGUUCGGGGAAUUUUAAAUGAAGAUAAAUCGUACUCUGACAUAUGAAAGAAGGCAGCAGACAAAACUAAGUCUUGGUAGCACUCCGUAUAUAUGGGACUGCCUUUUGAACUGAAAGAAUAGAUUGCUUCUAGGGAACCGCCACACUUGUUCAAUCGGCUUGAGACAAAAACUUUACGUCGGAGUUACGAUGGACUGGUGCCGACGCGAAACGCACAACGUCUUUUUCGCUCUUAUGUGUAUGUGCGUACACAUGUUUCAUUUAAGAAUGGAAUUUGAUCUUCAUAUGGCCACCGCGAGUCCGAUUCCGUUUUCGCGUCAAGUGUGCGACUCUCUUAAUCUGUGUGG